rnacentral:rRNA from 1 species
ACGCUCGACACCUACGGGGGCAGCAGUAGGGAAUCUUCCACAAUGGGCGCAAGCCUGAUGGAGCAACACCGCGUGAGUGAAGAAGGGUUUCGGCUCGUAAAGCUCUGUUGUUGGAGAAGAACGUGCGUGAGAGUAACUGUUCACGCAGUGACGGUAUCCAACCAGAAAGUCACGGCUAACUACGUGCCAGCAGCUGCGGUAAUCUGAGCGGGCUGGCAAGGC